rnacentral:rRNA from 1 species
GCUCAGGAUGAACGCUAGCGGCAGGCUUAACACAUGCAAGUCGAGGGGUAGAGGCCUUCGGGCCUUGAGACCGGCGCACGGGUGCGUAACGCGUAUGCAAUCUGCCUUCCACAGAGGGAUAGCCCAGAGAAAUUUGGAUUAAUACCUCAUAGCAUCAUGACCCGGCAUCGGGAUAUGAUUAAAGUCACAACGGUGGAAGAUGAGCAUGCGUCCCAUUAGCUAGUUGGUAAGGUAAUGGCUUACCAAGGCUACGAUGGGUAGGGGUCCUGAGAGGGAGAUCCCCCACACUGGUACUGAGACACGGACCAGACUCCUACGGGAGGCAGCAGUGAGGAAUAUUGGUCAAUGGGCGCAAGCCUGAACCAGCCAUGCCGCGUGCAGGAUGACGGUCCUAUGGAUUGUAAACUGCUUUUGUACGGGAAGAAACCCUCCUACGUGUAGGAGCUUGACGGUACCGUAAGAAUAAGGAUCGGCUAACUCCGUGCCAGCAGCCGCGGUAAUACGGAGGAUCCAAGCGUUAUCCGGAAUCAUUGGGUUUAAAGGGUCUGUAGGCGGUCUUGUAAGUCAGUGGUGAAAGCCCAUCGCUCAACGGUGGAACGGCCAUUGAUACUGCUGGACUUGAAUUAUUGGGAAGCAACUAGAAUAUGUAGUGUAGCGGUGAAAUGCUUAGAGAUUACAUGGAAUACCAAUUGCGAAGGCAGGUUGCUACCAAUGGAUUGACGCUGAUGGACGAAAGCGUGGGUAGCGAACAGGAUUAGAUACCCUGGUAGUCCACGCCGUAAACGAUGGAUACUAGCUGUUGGGCGCAAGUUCAGUGGCUAAGCGAAAGUGAUAAGUAUCCCACCUGGGGAGUACGAACGC